CACGUAGGGCGCAAGCGUUGUCCGGAAUUAUUGGGCGUAAAGAGCUCGUAGGCGGUUCUGUGCGUCGCUGUGAAAACUCCGGGGCUUACCCAGUACGGUCCUGCAGUGGAUACGGGCAGACUAGAGUGCAGGUAGGGGAGACUGGAAUUCCUGGUGUAGCGGUGAAAUGCGCAGAUAUCAGGAGGAACACCGAUGGCGAAGGCAGGUCUCUGGGCUGUAACUGACGCUGAGGAGCGAAAGCAUGGGGAGCGAACAGG
rnacentral:rRNA from 1 species